AACGAACGCUGGCGGCAGGCUUAACACAUGCAAGUCGAACGCAUCCUUCGGGGUGAGUGGCAGACGGGUGAGUAACGCGUGGGAACGUGCCCUUCAGUUCGGGAUAACCCAGGGAAACUUGGGCUAAUACCGGAUACGUGCGAGAGCAGAAAGAUUUAUCGCUGAAGGAUCGGCCCGCGUCGGAUUAGCUAGUUGGUGGGGUAAUGGCCCACCAAGGCGACGAUCAGUAGCUGGUCUGAGAGGAUGAUCAGCCACAUUGGGACUGAGACACGGCCCAAACUCCUUCGGGAGGCAGCGGUGGGGAAUAUUGGACAAUGGGCGCAAGCCUGAUCCAGCCAUGCCGCGUGAGUGAUGAAGGCCUUAGGGUUGUAAAGCUCUUUCGUCCGGGACGAUAAUGACGGUACCGGAAGAAGAAGCCCCGGCUAACUUCGUGCCAGCAGCCGCAGUAA
rnacentral:rRNA from 1 species